rnacentral:rRNA from 1 species
UACGUAGGGUGCAAGCGUUGUCCGGAAUUAUUGGGCGUAAAGAGCUCGUAGGUGGCCUGUCGCGUCGGCUGUGAAAACCCGAGGCUCAACCUCGGGCCUGCAGUCGAUACGGGCAGACUAGAGUUCGGUAGGGGAGACUGGAAUUCCUGGUGUAGCGGUGAAAUGCGCAGAUAUCAGGAGGAACACCGGUGGCGAAGGCGGGUCUCUGGGCCGAAACUGGACGCUGAGGAGCGAAAGCGUGGGGAGCGAACAGG